AUAUGUUUUUGAUGUUGAACCAUUUGACUAUGCUAAGGACUUUAAUGGGGAGAACUUUGUUUUCCCAGGUUUCAAUAGCUGUGGUUGCUGAUGGGGUGGAGGCUUCAGCACCUGCGGAAGCAGUUACCAGGUCCCAUUUCCAUAGAGUAUGCCUCCUGGAAAAAGUGACCCGGGCAAGGAAUGCAAACCACAAAGAAGGAAGACAUUUGCAUGCGAGCCAGGACAGCCUUGUCCAUGGAUUGAAGGAUCUAUCUUCCACCUGUCAAGGAAAUGCUCUCCUUGCCGAGAUCACAGCUAAUCCUGGAAACCUAGGUAACCAUUGUAGCCAGGAGUGUUUUCUUCCAUUUAUGAGAGUGAGUCAGACAUACACACCUUCCACUAAGCCAGGCUUCUUUCCGUAAGCUGCAUCUUGAUCUGUCAAGCAUCAGAAGCCAAAUGAAAACUGCAUUGAGUUCAAAAUCCAUUGGCUCACCAUCUGCACAUAAUUCACUGAGGUCACAGCCCAUCUAACUGGACUGGUGAAUGAGUGGACAAAGGGUUCCUUUCAAAGGAGGAUCCUUAGUUAUGAUGCUCUGAAUAUCAGCGAACUUACAUUUUUAUUCUUUGUUUAUUCACUUCAAAAUUCUCCAUAAAGGUCUCCAGUCUGUGAAACUCCUUUCUGAAGGAGUCACCUGCUUCCUGAUCAUUUUCAGGAAAUGGCACAAGAUCCAACUGUUACUUCAUGUUGGGGGCCUGAAGAACAACAUGAAUGCCCUUGGAAAUGAGCCCAGCAGCCCUUGCCCCUAGAAUCACUGAAUGUCUGAGCUGGAGUGAGUCUUAGGAGUCAUCUCCAAGCUAUUACCCCAAAGCUUUUAGGGUAUGGUUGGUUGUCUUCCCUCCCAGACUCAGUCUUGCCCUUGGUAGUCCCAGAGACUGAGGAGGGAGUGCUCAAAGGAUCCCAAGAUAAACUUAAAUCUUAGCAAAUCUUCAGGAAGUGAGGAGGAGAGACAGAGACAGAGGGACACAGAGAGAGAGGGAGAGAAAGAUAGAGGGAAAGAGAAGAGGGAGAGGGGAAGAGAGAGAGACAGACAACAGGCAAAGAGAGAGACAGAGACAGAGGGACACAGAGAGAGAGGGAGAGAAAGAUACAGGGAAAGAGAAGAAGGAGAGAGGAAGAGAGAGAGAGAGAGAGACAGACAGACAACAGACAAAGAGAGAGACAGAGACAGACAGAGAGACAGAGGGACACACACAGACAGAGAAAGAUAGAGGGAAAGAGAAGCAGGAGGGAGGAAGAGAGAGAGAGACAGACAGACAGACAACAGACAGACAAAGACAGAGACAGAGACAGAAAGAUGUAGAGAGGAAGAGAAAGAUAAAAGGAAAAAGAAGAGGGAGGGAGGAAGGGAGAGAGAGAGACAGAGAGAAGGGAGAGAGAGACAGAGAGGGAGAGAGAAAAGGGAGAGGGAGAAGGAAAGGAAAAAGGAGAGAUGAAGAGGGAGAUAAAGGGGGGAAGAAAGAGGGAGAGGGAAAAGAGAGACAAAGACAGAAGGAGACAAAGAGACAAAGUCAGGCAUACAAAGUGCUACAGCAUCCUAAAAUCCUGACUUAGAUCACAACUCAUCAUGAUCUUGAUGGCUGCCUUAUAGAAUAGCACUUCCAUAUUCUUUCUGGUGCCAAAAAAAUAUGGAAAUGCAGGGGCAAAACAAAAGCAUUCUCUAGAAGCCAUCAAAACGUGGGUUUAAAUGCAAAUGAAGAAAGUGAAGCAGGGAAUAGUUGAGUCACUUGUGGAGGUCACCCAGUUUAGAGGCAGUGUAUGGAAAAAUGAUGGAAAGAACCAGAGGACCGAGGCAAAAAUCCAACCUUUGAUGGUUCCUACCUUUAUGACCUUGGGUAAGACAUUUAAUACUUGGGUGUCAGUUUCCUCUUCUGCAAAAUGAAGAAGUGAUGAUCUUUGUGAUCCUUUCUAGAUGUAGGCAGUGAGAGAGUGAAGGUGAGAGCCCGGGUCUCCUGCCAUAAUUGGCUUUUCCUGCAAUACUCAUGCUUACAGUAUCCAUAUGUCACUGUACCGACAGAAGAGUCAACCAAAGGGAAUGAACAUUAGCCUUUCUAAAAAUAAAUGAGGAGUAGUAUGGUAUAGUAGAGAGUCC
rnacentral:lncRNA from 1 species